GUUUAUGGAUCCAGAAUUUGCUAAAAAAGCUCUCCGAGAUCAUUCUAAGAAUCUUCUAUGUUCUAAAUCAAAGAUGGUCAUAUGAAGCCUGGAACGAAACAAAUGAAGAGACCGAAAUGAAUGAAGAAGACCUUUUCAGAUUUUAUGUCGAGUUACGUCAUUGUUUGCAUCAUUGAUGUAAAAUAUACCUGGGAGAAACUCCUUCUAGCCGCACCUCACGCAUGAGGAGUGAUAGCUCAUAUCGAAAACCCCCGAGCUGAAGUGUGUGUCACACGAGAGUCUGCAACAUGGAGUCACGUGCGAAGGACAAAAUUUGUCGUUACGGCAGUAGACAAUUCUAGCUAAGAAAGCAGAGUUCAGAGCAGAAUUGAAGCAGAAAGCUGCCGACCAACACCUGUACCUCUCAGCGCAGCAACACAAAACAAAAAAGGUGGCACCCAAUCUAUUCACCCAACUCCUGACAGUACAUGGAAUCACCCCAGACAAUUACAGACUUCCUCUGGCGUUUGGUCUUCUCCCUGGAAAGCGGCAAGAACACUACACAAACUUACUAGAAGAACUGGAUCGCUUUGGACCUUUCCAGCCAGACACCGCCCUUUGUGAUAAUGAAGCUAGACUACGGAACAGUGUCACUGCUGUCUGGCCCGGGACUACUCAACGUGGCUGCUACUUCCACUUCAAACAGGCUCUAUGGAGGAACUUCGCUCGCUCCGACCUUGUUCCGGAGUAUCAGGUGGUUGGAUCCGACAUCCGGAAAGCCUUCCAACGGAUCGGAGCUCUACCUUUCAUCCCUCCUGAUGACAUUCACUACGCAGGGCAGACCUUUAGACCUAUCCUCUCCGCAGAUAUGGAUGUCUUAACAUUAUACUUUGAGUCCACGUGGAUGGGAACACCAAACAGACCUGCUCGCUUCGAUCACCUGUCCUGGAACCAGUACGAUUGCUGUCUAGCUGGUCUCCCACGCUCUUUGAACCUUCCAGAAGGAUGACAUAAUGGUUUCCGCAGCCUCGUCCAGUGUUCAAAUCCUACCAUCUGGAAAUUCCUUGAAGCCCUCAAACUAGAGCAAGGACUAACAGACUCAACACUGACAACACUCUUGGAGUAUUCUAAGACAGGACAACACUUGUUAUGCUCCAGCUCUACAAAUCCCUGAUAAGGUCCAGAGUGGAGUACUGCUGCCCGCUUUGGAAUCAAAACAAGAUCUAUGAUGUCCAGUCUAUCGAGAGCAUACAACGCUAGUUCACCAGACGGAUUCUAGGGCUCAGAGACACCGAUUAAAUGGAAUAGACUGAAGGAACUGAAACUUACAUCACUGCAAAGACGCCGAGAACGCUACACCAUCAUUCAUCUGUGGAAAGUUCUCCAGGGUAUAUGUCCAAAUGACCUAGAUGUACAGUUCAGAGAGAAUGCCAGACUGGGAGUUAAAGUUAUACUCCCUUCUCUCACCAAACAAGCAUCAGCUGCUGCACGCUCCACCUACGACCACUCAUUCGCAGUAAGAGCUGGAAGACUCUGGAAUGUUCUCCCCAAAAUUGUCAAUACUCAAAGGACUUUGACAAGCUUCAAGACAUCUCUUGGAAACUUCCUAGACACCCUUCCAGAAUCCAGACAAGCCCCUACUUCUGGAUACAGUGCAGAAAACUCUAUUUCUACAGACAUAGCGGAGUUCUACAGUUACUAGCUACGAGUCCACAUGGAUCGAGAUCUCAUCAAUCCUACCUUCGCUCACUACAAAUGGAGUCCACCAAGAUGCUGCUUCCCCGGAGUUCAACAUAGCUGAAGGAUUGCUCCACGGCCUCUACUGCACUCAAUGUUAUCCUUUUCAAACCUUACUAUCUGGAAAUUUCUGGACUGUCUGAAGGCGGGGCAGGACAUAACAUAUGUGAAACUCACGAAGAGACUGUGCAGAGAACGUCCUAGCCGAGGAGCAGCAAAGUGGAUCUUAAGUAUGACGAGAGACUGCAGACUGUUAACUUGAUUUUCUUAAAGUUAUUGGAUGUAUGAUUUGAAUUUAUGAUAUAAUGAAUUUGUGAUUUAAAUUUAUUAACAUGACUUUCAAAUUGAUAAUCUCUCUUGGUGAAGAAUAUAAUAAUAA